GAAAGACAUCAUCCAUGAAAGGUGUCAUUGAUGCCAAAUCUUCAAGAUGUUACAGCUAGCUGUAUUCAUUACCUGUCCAGCUGUGUUUGUGAAGAUGUGAUGCAUUUAUCACCAUCACAAGGUGUUACACUAGCUGAAAGAGAUCUCUGAGGUGGCAGCUGAGCCCACGGCCUCUGUGCUGGGAUUUUGUCUGAAGAAAUCCCCUCUGCAAGGACGCAGCAGCCCAAGUCAGCUGCUUCUGGUGGAUGCUGCAGCACCGACACACCGUUGAAGGACUGUAAAGAAGGCCCCCAAGCUGCAAUCCAGCAAGGCC